AAGUCGUAACAAGGUUUCCGUAGGUGCCGCAAGGUUUGCCUCCGGGGAUCUCCCGAGCGACUCUAAACAAUCGGGCAGUCGCCCGCUCCGGCGGGUGGCGACGCAGCUACUGUGGCCUGGAAGCUUGCCCGGACCUUGAGUUCCGGGCGGCAACCAGCAGCUCCCGCGUGGGAGUCCACAGAUCAAAUGCCUGCGGCCGCGUGCUUCGCGGUUUCGAUAUGACCGAGCCCCGCCUGCGCAGGCGAGGGGCAUCUGGAACCUGCGGAAGGAUCAUUACCGAGAGACGGGGUCUAACCGGCCCCAACUCUUCACCCGUGUAUACCAAUCUCUUGUUGCUUUGGCGGGCCGUCGGAGGCUCUCCGCGGGGGGCUUCGGCCCCUCCGUGCCCGCCAGAGGCCCAAUCAAACUCUGUAUCAGUGUCGUCCGAGUACCAAAUAAUAACUAAAACUUUCAACAACGGAUCUCUUGGUUCCA
rnacentral:misc_RNA from 1 species